CCAACCGGAAAAUCCGGUGUGCUCUUGCAAAUAAGAAACAUUAAAAUUCGAAUGAAAAAGUGUUAAAUUAACUCAAAAGCAAAGCAACAUAAAAAAAGGUGGUGCCGCCGCAGCUGAAGCUCUCUGCCACUAAUUGCAAGACCACAACAACACAUUUGAAUAAAGGCUAAAGGCACCUUGCAAUCAACAACGCUACAAAAACAACACACGCAAGGCAAUCGUCAAGGGGCUAAUUGCGUUCGGCUGGGUGUGGGGUUGUUGUCAGACCCGUUGGAGCGGGGGUAAACAAAACGUAUACUUGGUGGAGUUCCGUGCAAAUUAAAGAGAACUUGUGGUCAAGUGAAUGAAAUGAAUAAAGAGCGGCGUAGAUAUAUUAAAAUAACAACAAUACAGGAGCGUCAUCUCAAGGCAGAACCGCAUUGCUAGCAGAGCCAAAAACAGCAGUUUUUCAUUGAAUAGAAGAGUUCGUUCCAUCAAGACGUGAGCAAAGCAGCUGAAGAAAUACAAUAAGGAUUCGGGCAAAGAAUAUAUCUAUAAAAUGAUUCAAUUAAAAAAUUAAAAUUAAAGCAUUUAAUGAAAUUUAAGUGCAAAAGAUGUGUAUAAAAUUAUUUAAAUCGAACUAAAGAAGUGAAAUGGAAAAAAUUUGCUAAAAUGAAAUCGAGACUGCCGUACGUGAGGUGAUGAUGUAUGGUCUUGGAAAUGUGCGGUGAGCUGAGGUGAAGACAAAGGCAAGCAGCGCUGGCGCAAGCAAAUUGGAUGUAUGCGUGUGUGAAUAGGAAAUAAUUGUACCAAUACGGAGUUGAAAUAAUACAAAUUGUUGGCUGAAAUAUUUGGGAAGGAAAUAUGUACGAAAACCGCAUUUAAAAGUGCAAAUAAACUUUAAUUUUUUUACAAAAACAGCUAACAUGUGAGCACAUAUAAAAAGCAAUACAAUUAAACACUUAUAGCUGAAGAAGAAGCAGAAUAAGCAAAAGUGUAGAUAAGUAAUACAAGAAAAAGCAGCAACGCUAAGAAGCAUAUCAUUAUUUCGUUCAAGAGCAGAAAAGUGGCUGCCGAGCACAGAGAUUUAUGUAUGUGAAGUAGUGCACAUAAAAAAUUGAUUGAGCUUGAAAACUGAAAAAUAUCAGAAAUACUUGUAGGACAGUUGGUAAUCUAGAAGAUCUGUGAGAUAAACUAAAAUCUAAAAAGUACGUUAAAAGUGACCUAAUGCUACGUGUAUGCCGCGCUGUAAUUAGCCAGUGAACGUCAAUGGUGAAAAAAGAAGUGGCGACGUGUGGGAGGGGGCGUUGGGCGUAAACAGCUGUGGUCAUAGUAUUUGUUUUUUUAAAGGGCGGACAUUGAGACAAGAAAUUUAAUGAUCACAAGGGCGAAAAAAUUGAUUCUUUGGCUUGAAAUUUAAUUAAACAGUAUAGUGCUACCUACUACAUAUAUUAUACAAAUUCAAAAUGUCUAUUUCAAGUGCAUUUUAUAGGAAAAUGUGGUAGUUAAAAAAACUGUGUAUGCACUGAUUGGGAGUUCGUAAUUGAUCUUCGGACACAUAUGCCUACAUGUAUGUAUGUAUAAAUGUAUGUACAUAUGUAUACAGGUACACAUUUAUGUUUUUGGCUACGAAUUGGCUGAGUUGGAAAUAAGAAAAUAUUUUGCAAAGAAGAAUCAACUUGAAUACCUUCUAA